rnacentral:rRNA from 1 species
GCGGUGGCGGCAGGCUACACAUGCAAGUCGAGCGCGCCUUCGGGCGAGCGGCGGACGGGUUAGUAACGCGUGGGAACGUGCCCAGAUCUACGGAAUAGCCACUGGAAACGGUGAGUAAUACCGUAUACGCCCUUCGGGGGAAAGAUUUAUCGGAUUUGGAUCGGCCCGCGUUAGAUUAGGUAGUUGGUGGGGUAACGGCCUACCAAGCCUACGAUCUAUAGCUGGUUUUAGAGGAUGAUCAGCAACACUGGGACUGAGACACGGCCCAGACUCCUACGGGAGGCAGCAGUGGGGAAUCUUGGACAAUGGGGGCAACCCUGAUCCAGCCAUGCCGCGUGAGCGAAGAAGGCCCUAGGGUCGUAAAACUCUUUCGCCUGUGAUGAUAAUGACAGUAGCAGGUAAAGAAACCCCGGCUAACUCCGUGCCAGCAGCCGCGGUAAUACGGAGGGGGUUAGCGUUGUUCGGAAUUACUGGGCGUAAAGCGCACGUAGGCGGAUUAGAAAGUUAGAGGUGAAAUCCCGGGGCUCAACCCCGGAACUGCCUUUAAAACUACUAGUCUAGAGUUCGAGAGAGGUGAGUGGAAUUCCGAGUGUAGAGGUGAAAUUCGUAGAUAUUCGGAGGAACACCAGUGGCGAAGGCGGCUCACUGGCUCGAUACUGACGCUGAGGUGCGAAAGUGUGGGGAGCAAACAGGAUUAGAUACCCUGGUAGUCCACACCGUAAACGAUGAAUGCCAGUCGUCGGGUAGUAUACU